AAUGACGGCCCGCACAAGCAGCGGAGCGUGUGGUUUAAUUCGAUGUUACACGAAGAACCUUUACCUGGGUUUGACAUGCUAGUGGUAAUGAAGCGAAAGCUAAGUGACCCGCAAGGGAGCUAGCACAGGUGCUGCAUGGCUGUCGUCAGCUCGUGCCGUGAGGUGUCGGGUUAAGUCCCAUAACGAGCGCAACCCUUAUCGUUAGUUGCCAGCGGGUAAUGCCGGGAACUCUAACGAAACUGCCGGUGUAAACCGAGAGGAAGGUGGGAUGACGUCAAAUCAGCACGGCCCUUAUGUCCAGGGCUACACACGUGUUACAAUGGCCGGUACAGAGGGCAGCUACCUGGAGACAGGAUGCGAAUCUCGAAAGCCGGUCUCAGUUCGGAUCGGAGUCUGCAACUCGACUCCGUGAAGCUGGAUUCGCUAGUAAUCGCGCAUCAGCCAUGGCGCGGUGAAUACGUUCCCGGGCCUU
rnacentral:rRNA from 1 species